AGUGAACGCUGGCGGUAGGCCUAACACAUGCAAGUCGAACGGCAGCACAGUAAGAGCUUGCUCUUACGGGUGGCGAGUGGCGGACGGGUGAGGAAUACAUCGGAAUCUACUUUUUCGUGGGGGAUAACGUAGGGAAACUUACGCUAAUACCGCAUACGACCUACGGGUGAAAGCAGGGGAUCUUCGGACCUUGCGCGAUUGAAUAAGCCGAUGUCGGAUUAGCUGGUUGGCGGGGUAAAGGCCCACCAAGGCGACGAUCCGUAGCUGGUCUGAGAGGAUGAUCAGCCACACUGGAACUGAGACACGGUCCAGACUCCUACGGGAGGCAGCAGUGGGGAAUAUUGGACAAUGGGCGCAAGCCUGAUCCAGCCAUACCGCGUGGGUGAAGAAGGCCUUCGGGUUGUAAAGCCCUUUUGUUGGGAAAGAAAAGCAGCAGGUUAAUACCCCGCUGUUCUGACGGUACCCAAAGAAUAAGCACCGGCUAACUUCGUG
rnacentral:rRNA from 1 species